CCUACGGGAGGCAGCAGUGGGGAAUAUUGGGCAAUGGGCGCAAGCCUGACCCAGCAACGCCGCGUGAGUGAAGAAGGCUUUCGGGUUGUAAACUUCUUUUCUGAGGGACGAAGAAAGUGACGGUACCUCGGGAAUCAGCCGCGGCUAACUACGUGCCAGCAGCCGCGGUAAGACGUAGGUGGCAAGCGUUAUCCGGAUGUAUUGGGUGUAAAGGGAGUGUAGGCGGGAAAGCAAGUCAGAUGUGAAACCUCAGGGCUCAACCCUGAGCCUGCCUUUGAAACUGUUUUUCUUGAGUGAUGGAGAGGCAAGCGGAAUUCCGUGUGUAGAGGUGAAAUGCGUAGAUAUACGGAGGAACACCAGUGGCGAAGGCGGAUUGCUGGACAGUAACUGACGCUGAGGCGCGAAAGCGUGGGGAGCAAACAGGAUUAGAUACCCGAGUAGUC
rnacentral:rRNA from 1 species